AUUCUUACCGGCCAUGCCAGUAGCCCCUACUGCUGUGUCGUUCCCCUAUUGGCUAAGGUUAGACCACACAGUCUAGUCUAAUUCCAAUUGGCUGUUUUAAUGGGAGCAGGGGUAUGAGCCAGAGUGGUGGGGUGGGUAGUUUGGUGGCAAGGACAAUUACAGGACAGGCCAGAGCAGGUAGCCAGGGGUGACCUAGGUCAAAGCAAGUGACCAGAGCAGGUGACUGGGAUGACUCAGGACAGAGCAGGAGACCAGGGGAACAAAUGUGAACUAUUGAUUAGAACUGGUAGAAAAGGUUGUUUUCUGAAAC